AGUAGUCCUGAGAAAGUGGAAACAUGUAUUAAAUAGGUAAUAAUUUAAAAAAAUUAUUGUUAUGAUUGAAAAGACACAAAAAAUGAAAUUACAUGACAUAAUAAUAAUUAAAGGAAAUAAAAAACGCUUUUUCUCUCCAAUUACUUUUGGAAUAUUUUUAUUUGCAGCAACCCGUUUCGGAUGAAAUCCUUGAUAACAUCGUUAGUUUAUUCGCAAGUAUCCCCAAGGACAGGCAGUAGAAGUAGCCACACAACACAUCGAUCGAGCGGAAAGAGCAAGAGGGAACAAAGAAAUUCUAAAGAACAUCAGCUCUUUCCCCAAUAUUGGCGGGAAUGGUAACUGAUAAACUUGGACAACGAACACUAGAGAACAGAGAAUUCUAAGAGCAAAUAAUAAUUUGGAUACGUUAUGUAAAUGACAUUUUCUGCGUCUCGAAAGAAGAGGGAGAAAGAAAUUAAAAGAAUUUUUCGAACACAUCAAUAAAUUAGACUAGAAUAUCUGUUUCACAAAUUGAAACAAAUAAUAAUUUAAUAAUUUUUUUAGAUAUCAGCAUAACAGGAAAAAAGAACAAACUAAAAUUAUUAGCAACUCACAGGAAAAAAAUAUGUGGAGAUACUACUAUCAAUAAAACGUCCCAACAUCCACACAUACCACAAAUCACCCGAUUUAGAGCUUUAUACAGGGUUUUUAUAAACGAUUCUAAGGGCGUAGUUGGCCAGGGAUUUAAAAAUCCCGCUUCGAUGAAAUUAUGUCCCAUUAUGACAGUUCUUACUUGUCAUUAAUGUCAUUUGUAACCUGUCAUUUAGAGUCAUCGCUUUUGUUGUUCUAACGUUUUCCAAGUGUGAAUUACAGUAAUUCUCGUUGAUCCAAGCUCAAAACAACAAAACCGUCGCUUUCAAAACUUUUGGUGCUUGUGUACGAAAAUUUUGUUUUCGUGCUUCGAUGCGAAGAUCGUAAAAGUGGUUUAUUCUGUUGAACAAGACAUUUUCAUUGUUAUCGCAAUGGGACAUUCUUAAACGAAGAGUGUGUGUUUUCUGUAACCGCUUGUAAGCAAAAAUAUCUGGCCAAAUACCGUGAUUUAAUAAUUCAAGAAACAUCGUUAGAAGCUCACAUUAGAGAUGUAAUCAACAGAUUUGUUCGAUCUGGCAGUGUCAACAAAGGAAAGUCUCCUGGAAGAGCUGCAAUAUCUGAGGAAGUUGUUGAUGAUUUGAGAUGAUUCGAGCGGAAUCCGCAAACAUCUUUGGCAAGAUUGUCUCAGCAGUCAGGAGUUCCUGUUGCAACGUGAAAUCGAACAAUGGGUCCAAACUUGAGGAAAGGUUGUUACAGAACAUUUUUGAAAUUAAAAAGAGAGUGAAUACGUGCACUGAACAAAAUGUAAGAUAUGAACAAUUUAGGCAACCAGAUAUACUGUGUCGUAAAUCCUUUGGCAUUUAGCAAACUCCACAUAAAGUGAUAGGCAGCACGCUUCCAUGACCUAUUUCGACCCUAUAAUAAUUUUUAGAUACCCCGUUCAAUUGAAUUAAAAACACAAACAUAAUAUGAAGAAAAUGACAAAGAAGAUAAGAUCAUCGCACAUAUAGCCUUCAACAACGAGUAUUUCUUAGAAGAUAUAAAUUAUAUAUUCACGAAAAUAAACGAACCAAGAGGAAUAGAAGAAAAAUAUAAAGGAAAAUAAGAUAGAAAUAAAGAAAUAGAUAAUGUAUAUAGCAGAAUUUUGUACAUUGGCGGUGUAUCGAAGGAAAUUAAAAAAAUCAUAGAAUAAUUUAACAUAACAAUUACUGUAGAAUGCACAAAUGAUAUCCCCACAUUGUUCAACCAAUAAGGUGAAAUCAAUAAAGAAGGUAGGAGAUGAAUCAGCUGUAAAGAAUGCGGGGCAACAUACAUUGGAAAAAUAGGUACAAGCAUCAAACAAAGAAUAAAAGAACAUGCAACAACACCUUGUUAGACAUAAGGAAAACACAAAGAAGAAUUAACCGUAACCACUGACAAAAAGAUGACCAGCAAUAUCCAACAAGGUAAAAGCGACAAAAAAUUUUAAAUUUUCGGGGGAAAUCAAAAAACGUAACACUGCGUGACUUUAAAAAGAAUAUUAUCGUUUAUUGUAAGUGUUUUUAAAAUACAUUUUAAUUUGUAUAGUGUGUCAGCUCAUAAGAAAACAGACAUUUUAUGUAGAUUUGCAAAAUUUUUGACAGGUAGGACUUAUAUAAAAAAUGAGGUGCUGUACACCACCAAUUGAAUUUAAAUUGUAGAAUCGGCGUGAUCAAAUAUUUUAUCCGAAACCUGUUCCCCGUAAAUAAAAAUGUUCCAAAAAUAAGUGGAAAGAAAAAGCGUUUUUUUCAAGGGCAUUGAUAUCAAGAAAAGAAUAAGUAAGAUUUUACUUACAUUUUGCAUAGAGUUAAUAACAACGUAAUGUUUCAAAAUCAUAGCGUUGUAAGGUUGCCUCGAUUCCUAGAAUCACAUCUAAUCUAUUGCUUUUAGAUAUGCUGAGUGAUCUGUUCUUCCUGUUGACAAUUAGAAGUAAACAUAAAUCAUAAUUUUCGUCCACCGUAUACAAGUUUGCUAAAAUGCUAAAACCAGAGUAUAUUAAAUACGGCGAAUCUUGGUUUUCCUUCUUACCUUACGAACAGCUGUCAGUAGUUAAGUUUAUAAUCUGCUUCCCUUUUAGUUGAUAAGUUACGUUGAAUUUUGGUAAUUAAUCUUGAAAGAUUAUUUGUCGUAUUUAUAUCUCAAUUGUUGUGUUGCCAGUUGAUCGUUGUAAAUGUUAGUAAAAAUCGGUAAGAAAAUCUUGAGGCAAUACUAAAUGGUGCCAGGCUAUAGCUUCAAAUUCCAAUUUAUAUAUUUCUAAUGUAGUCACGACAGGACAAAGCAGACGUGAUGAAGUGAUGUAGAGAAACUUUUGUUAUUAAAUGUACAUCGAUAUACCAACUAAUAUCAGUCAUAAUCCAACAAUUUAAGGUAACAUCAGUUGAUGAGUGAUGAACACUAACUUUUUCUUCUUAAUUUUUAAAUACUUUGCAUUCCACUUAUUUAUUAUUUUCGUGAUUUUUCGAGUUAUUUUUUUCUCAGAUUACCAUUUCAGGAAGUUUCGUUACACAUAGCUUUACGCGGCGAAUGUACUUGCAAAAAUAUGAAAUCUGUAGAAUUUAGCCAUUUAUGUUAUCGGGUUUAUAUAUGAACGAUUUCUUUGAAGCGAGUGUACAAAUUGCCCUUCGUAAAAUUGCUCCUUGUUAAAAUGAAAAUCGACACUUUUUAAAUUGCAUAUACAAAAGAAGCGUUCGUGUCCCAUUAUUUCUUUAAAAACUCUUUUGGUUAAUGGUGUACGUUAAAUUUGUCUUGGAUGGAUGCCAACUAAGGCUGUCAAAAUAACUUAAUUUAUUGUCAUGACGUUUUAAAAUAAAGGCGUUAUAUUUCCCCAAUAAAACAUAGUAUAAAAAGGCUUGUUUUACUUCGUAAAAUCUUGAACUGGUGUCAUAAUAGUGAGUUUAUGAAACAUGUUCUUUAAAGCAUUAUUUUAUUGUGCACCUAAUAAAAUUUCCAAAGGAACAGCACAUAAUGUCUACUUUAGUAGUAUCAUUUUUGGUUACCUAUUUAUUAACUAUACUAACAGAGAGACGUAACAUUAAAACAUACUCUACAACUCACUACAUUACGCUGCAAUUAAAUCGCUUAGAGGCGCUUUGGUUCCUAUUUUCCCUUUUUGAAACAUCAUAAAAUGGUGUGCCACGUUUUUGUUUAGCGCUAUUGAUUUUGCCACCAUGUGUCACCAAGUACUGAACAGUAGUUUCCUGGCCUGUCCGGAAAGCUACAUCUAGUGAUGUCAUACUUUCCCGAUUAGUGCGAUUGAUUUCAGCACCGGCUUUUAUCAAACAUUCUAUAAUAGCGUCAUGUCCGUGCGCGGAAGCCAUAUGCAGGGGUGUCCAACCAUCGUCAUUACCACGAUUGGUUUCAGCACCGACUUUAAGUAGAUAUUCCACAAUUUUUUCAUGGCCCUUUCGACAAGCUGCGUGAAGAGGAGUCAGACCCUCAUUACUAACGGGAUUGAUUUCGGCGCCGGCUUUCACUAAACAUUCCACAGUUUUUUCGUGUCCGCAUUCUACCGCUGUAUGAAGUGGUACCCAACCCAUAUUAUCAAAUCGAUUGAUUUCAGCGCCAGCUUUCACUAAAAAUUGCACAGUCUCUUCGUGGCCCUUUUGACAAGUUGCCGAAAGUGGCGUGCUGCCGUCAUUAUCAGAACAAUUGACAUCGACCCCGACUUUCACUAAGAAUUUGACAAUAUUUUGGUGACCGUGUCGGGAAGCGGAAUGGAGUGGUGUUUGACCCCUUUUAUUAAAACGAUUGAUAUCGGCGCCAGCUUUUGCCAGAUCUUUGACAAUUUCGUCGUGGCCAUAUUUCGCGGCUAUGUGGAAUGGUGUCCAACCCAUAGCUUCAGCGCAGUUGAUGUCGGCGCCGGCUUUCACCAGGUGUGUCACAGCUUUACCGUGGCCUCUAUGACAAGCUACGUGAAGUGGUGUCGCACCCUCCUUAUUACCUCGAUUGAUUUCGGCACCGGCUUCUAGUAAGUAACUAAUAAUUUUUUCGUAGCCGUAUUGGGACGCAAGGUGCAGCGAAGUCCAACCAUCACCAUAAGCCCGAUCAAUUUCGCUGCCGGCUUUCACUAAAUAUUGUACAGUUUUUUCGUGGCCGUUGCGCGUAGCUAAGUGAAGUGGUGUCUCACUCUUUCUAGAAAGACAGUUGAUUUCGGCGCCGACUUUUACUAAAUAUUGUACAAUUUCUUCGUGACCAUUCUGUGACGCUACGUGAAGUGGUGUCACGUUUUCAAGGUUAGACCAAUUGAUUUUGGUGCCGUUUUCGACUAAGUAUUUGACAAUUUUUCCGUAGCCAUACUCGCACGCUGCAUGAAGUGGUAUCCAACCCAAAUUAUCGGGGCAAUUAAUCUCUGCACCUGCUGUCACUAAGAUUUCGACAAUAUUUUCGUGACCGCUUUGCGAGGCUACGUAAAGUGGUGUCGCACCAUCGUAAUUACCACGAUUGAUUUGGGCGCCAACUUUCACUAAGUAGACAAUAACUUGUUCCUGGCCAUUUUGAGAAGCAACAUGAAGUGGUGUCUCACCCUUGUUACAAACGAGACCGAUUUCGGCGCCAUUUUUGACUAAGCAUUCAAGAGUUUUUCCGUGGCCAUUGAAGGAAGCUAUGUGAAGUGGUGUCCAGCCCUCACUGUCAGUGCAAUUAAUCUUAGCGCCAAUAUUCAGUAAGGAUUGUACAGUUUUUGCCUGACCUUUAAAAGAAGCCGCAUGAAGUGGUGUUCCACCCAAGUUAUCAGGGCGAUUGAUAUCGGCACCGCCUUUCGCUAAGCAGAUCACCGUUUCUUCGUGACCAUUAAAUGAUGCCACAUGAAGUGGUGUCACACCCUCUUUACAAUCGCGAUUUAUUUGGGUCCCGGCUUUCACUAACGACUCUACAAUUUUUCCGUAGCCAUUUAGCGAAGCUGCAUAAAGUGGUGUCUUUCCGGAUUUACUAACGCAGUCAAUUUCGACACCAGAUUUUAGCAAAUAUUUAACAAUUGUUAGAUGACCACUUUCGGAUGCCAACAAAAGAGGAGUUUUAGCCGUUUCUGCGGUAGUAAAUUUCACUUGGUGCCAAAGGUUACUUAAUUCUUGAACCGUAAAUAAUUUACACACCUCAUCGUAGCCUAGCAAAGAGGAAUAAUACAAGAGGUUUAUUAUUUCAUUACAAGUGCAUGAUCGAUUUAAGGCAGAGUUUAUGGUUUGAAGUAAUUUUAGUUCCGCCCCUAAACUCUCGCUUUUUCUGGCGUAAGACAGUGGCGUCGCACCCAAUAACACGUCAUUUUCGUCAACAUCGUUCUUGCUUUGUAAAUACCUAACAGUUUUAAAAUACGCUUCUUUUUCCGCUUUUUUACUGAAACUGUUGUUUUCGUGUACAAUAUACUGUCCAGGUACACCCGUUAUUUUUACUUGCGGGUGUCUUUGUCCCCAUGAGGAAAUCAAAUGUAAAACACUUCGGCCACCGUUAUCUUUACGUGUUAAAAUUUCAUCAUCAAACGUUUGAAGUAAUUCGUAGUUUUUAUAUAAGACGGCUAUGUGCACUUUCGAGUUUUCGGCCAUCAACACGUCAAAGAAAAACCGGACGUUAUUGUACUUAGCGUCAAAUAUUACGUCCACGAGUGUGUUUUUAAUAUUAUCAAAAUGUUUUGAAAAAUAUGUAGCAACUAAAUAUUCCGCGAAAGAGCCAUGAAGAAAACGUGGCACACUAUUUUGAAAGUCUUUAACAAGACCAAGGGACGAAUAUCUUUGCAAAACUUUUUCCAUGUGCUUUUCACAAUCGAUGUUUAAUCGCUGUAAAAUUUCUCCAGGAAAUACGACUUUAAAUGCGAUACUUUCGUAAUGAGCUAAAGCUUUUCGUUUUUUCUCACGAAUUAUGCUUUCCAUGUGGGGAUUUUGAACAUCGAAUCCCAUUUUAUCUUUGUAAAAACUAUUAAAUUUUUCCUCAAUAAAAUAUUCAUAUAAGUCGGUCAAAAGAAACGAGUUUUCCAUUAGUCUCAAAUAUUUGUCUUUAUUUUGGCGAAAUAGUUCUGUAGUCAUGAAUAUUUGAAGCGGAAUUCCUAAUAUGUCCACAUGCUGUACAACCGCAAAUGAUGAUUUAAUUUUUUCUACGGUGACCUCAAUUUCGUCACCAGAAACCGAAAAAGUUAGACGUUUUCUUAUGUAAUCUUGUUGUUCUUGUUCACUGAACUGAUUUAUAGCCAGCGAAAGCAAACUAAUUUUUUUUUCUAGAAAUGUUCUUAGAUGGGUUCGACUGGUGAUCCAUUGAAGGCAACCUUUUUUCGAGAGGUGGAAGAUUAUUUUUGAAACGGCGUCUAAAUUUUCGCUUAGGAUUUCGUCAAGUGCAUCCCACACAUAAAUAACACGGUUUUUCUUAACACACAUUUCGAAAAAGCUUUGAUCUAAGGUUUUGAAUGAUCGAUUUUUUUCUUUCAUGAUAAAUGUUUCAAAUAAAUCUGUUUCAGAAAAUUUGCUAUGGUUAAAAAAUGAAUUAACUUCUUUAGGGUGAAUUAUGACUGUCCAAUAUUCGCGUGGGGCUUUAUUUUUAAAGCUUUUCAUUAGCUCAGAUUUACCCAUUCCUGGAUCGCCAGUUAUUAAAUUAAUAUUGUUAUCUAAUCGGGAAGACCAAAGUGCGUGUUCGUUAAUAAAAUAUUUGCCAGAAAAUUUAUAACUCUCUAAAUCACUAACAUCACCUCUGCUUUUAAUCCACUCCAAAUUUCCAUCAUUUAAAAGUUUAAAGUAGUGAAUUGUUUUGAUUUCUGUGUUUUCACUGCAAAUUUGUUGUAACUCUGAAUCAGUGUAAUUCCUAUUACCUACAUAGAUCGUGUUAACAAAGGUGGAUUUAUCAAGAUUAAAAGUAUCUUUGUGUUUACUUCGAUUAAAUAUAAACUUAUGCAAUUCAUUGUUCGUUAAAUUUUCAAAGUUUUGAUUCUUUUUCUGUAAAAAGUUAUCGAUGUCAAUUAAUUUGUAUUUGCUAAGUUUGUCUUUUACUUUGUCUAAAUUAUUUGCACAAUUUAAGACAAGUGUCGUAUUUUCUUGAACUUUUUCUAGGUACGCGAUACUAAUAAUAUUUCUAGAAAGAUAGCGUUCAAUGUAGGGUUCAGGAAGUGUUUCUUUUUCUCCGCCUAUAUUACAUGGACCAUUUAGCAUUUCCACCAAAUUGUCUGUUGUAAUAAUUUCUAAAAAUGGUUCAUCAUUACCGAAAGCGCUUAAAAGAUCAAGUUCUUUCUUUUUUUGGAUAGAUAUUGUAAAACUGUGCAUCACUCUUUCACGCAUGUCACGCUUCUGAGACAAGUCCGAUAAAUUUCGAAACACCGAAUAAUUUGUCAUCCAUCCCUUCUUCUUGUCUGCACCAACCAAGAUGAACUUUUUCUCUGGACAGAGCUGCAUGACUGUCUCAAAGCCUUCAAACUCAUGAACUAUCAGUGGACAUUUGUCCAUUAUCCAUAAUAUUUGACUAAAUGCCAUUACGUUUAAGUUAUUCCCAUCGAUGCAACUGGUGGCAAGUUGAUAAUUUCUUCCAACUCUAGUUAAUUCAGUAACGUCGAUCUUGUCUUCUCUACUGUCACCCCACAUUUGUUUAACCGUUUCACAUGAUUUUUCCCCAAAUAAUGUGAUGUCGAACUGCGCAAUAACUUCUCGAAAAAUUUUCGUCCUCUCGUUUACUGAACCAAGGGAUAAAGGCUCGAUGUGAGAACACAGAAGCUGCAGCGCAAUUACCGUCCUCAUCCACUUUUUGGUUAGUUUUGCCUUACUACCUUCUUGCAUGUUCCAUUUAGAUAUCAUUUUAAAAACUUUGUCGAAUAUGUCCUCGUUUGAAGUAUAUGUUGCUCUGAAUUUGUUCAUCGUUGAAUUUCUCAUACUAUCAAAAUUUUCUUGAUCGGUGUAUAGAUAAAAUUUUUCAAAAAAGGCUUUAUAUUCUUGAAUUUUGGGAAGGUUUCCUGUGGUCGAUGGAUCUUCGACUACGUGAAACUGAUAAACCCGAUUUGCUUUUUCUGAAACUUCUAAGCUGCCUUUUGCUUCAAUCGGCUGAAUAUAAAACGCCUCUUCUUCGAGCUGAAAUUUUACAUUGUCGUUGCAAUUGAAUGGACGAUUGGUGAAGAGUAUAAAUUCGUCUGUAGUACUCCCUAUUUCUUGGUAACAUUUGAAAUAUUUACUAAUACUGAAAUCCCCUUUUUUGGAUUUUAAAUGUUCUGUGGACAAUAUUUUUCUCUCGCUGUGCUUCAACUGCAUUGCUAUCACAUCGAUACCUUUAUUUGAUUCAAGUUUGACGACUAAGUCGUCAAAUGCUCCAAAUUGUUCAUCGUUUGACGAGAGAUGAAAAUUUUUGACAGUAUCGUCGGUUAUUAGUUGGAGGAUAACUUUGGUGAUAACGGCAUUCUCGUAUUCCUUACCCUUAUCCGUCGUUCCAGUCCUUUUGCGAAAAAUCUGAAACAUCCACAAACAUAGAUGACAAGAGUAUAUUAAGUAACAAGGAAACAAAAAAGAGCGUAAUCUCAUGACUUGAGCAGGAACCGCAAAAAAUGAAGCAUUUAGUUAUACGGAUGCGUAUGGGUUUUUUCGAGAGUCCUUGGGCAUUUAGUAAAAUACAAUAAAGUGAGAGGCGGCACGCAUCCAUGACUUAUUUUGGCCCUGUAUUCAUUUAUAGAAACUCUGUAUCUCUCUCAAUUAACAAAAGAGUUGUUACGAUGUAAUCUGAGAGAACACAUAAAUAGUAUUCAGUUAUAAAUUAAAUAUACAGGGUGUUUUGGAGCAUAUGCGUCAAAUUUCGGAUGCAAAUUCUGUCGUUUCUUUAAAAAAAUAAUAACAUUUUUCUUAAAAUUAUUCCUUUUCAUCCUGGAAGUCUUUGGAAUUUAACACUACCUUCAUUAUUCAGCGAAUUUCAUUAUAUAAGUUUCGUAAAUCUCUGGCAAUGAAAAAUGUAAGUUAUAUCAUUACAUAUGCGCUUUAUAACAGUCAUAAAUGACACUUUGUAAUUGUCACUAUGCGUGAAUUAUUUUUUGUAUUCGUCAAUGUUGGAUAUGCUGUCAUGGACUUUGAUAUGGUGGUAAAACCCAAAGUAUGCACUAGUACGCAUUUAGCAAUUCUUCUUUUCUGUGAAUAAGAGUAGAGAUGAGAAUGAUUCUACCACUUUGCUCAAGAAAAUCAAAUUUAGGUUGGUUGAAAAUUUCGUCGAGAAUUUGGUUUAUAUCCAACGUCAAAAAAAUGAAACAGUAAUGAAUCUGGCAAGAAUUACGCAUAAUAAUUAAGUAUAUGAAAAAGUGUAAGGAGUUGUGAUGUCUAAGGUUUGGCCACACUUCCUGAAACACCCUGUGUAUUGACUAACAUAGCUUUCCUAAUUUUAGUUUUUUGAGUAUUUUUAAGAAGACCAGAAUAUUAUUGCAAUUUAUAUGUACUCGUAUACACAAAUAUAGUAAUGGGCAUCUUUCAGUCAAGUUUUAUACAACAUUUUUUCGAAAUGACUCCGUUGGGUUGUUUGGUAUACAUAAAUCUAUUACUCGUUAGGUUACUCUUUUGCCAGAAUUUUUCGAAAAUUUAUUACCGUUCAAGAAAACUAGUUGGCAAAAGCAUUCAUUUUUUUCAGGCAUUUUCUGUAAGCAACAGCUGAAAAUAAAUUUGCUUCAUGAGCCAGGACAUGGUUGGACUUAUCCUUAAAUACUCAGGUGAGAAUUUUCUUCUCAAUAAUUUGCUAUUAGCAUUUACUAAAUUAAAUAAAUGUACAGAGGGAAACAAACCCAAUAUGUUGGACAACUGCGCUGAAUAUUUUCGUAUUGAUUUUGACAUCCGACCUGAACAUUUUCAGCUGUCAACGUUUUUGGGUUUUAUUCAAAGCAUAAUAAUAUUUAGUUAAGUACUUACUUCGGCCUUCUCCAUCUCUAGAGUAAAAAUCACUGUUAAAAGUCAAAAGUUUCACAACAAAAUUAUUACAGUAAAAUGUAUUAGUACAGACACAUUUAUUUAUAUGGUAACAUUAAACAUAAAGAAGUUAUCAGCAGAUAAUAGUUGAGGCUGACGUCAUGUCAGUUCCGUGCACAUAUCAAACACACUUCCGGUUUACUCAACAUCUUUAUCUAAUAAAUCGUUUUGUAAAAAUGAUGUUUCUAAUUUCAAAAUUAGGAUCACUCCUACAAGGAAAACAGUAUUGAAGGUCCAUCGUCUAAUUUCUCAUUUUAAAUCAUUUUUAUUUUAAACUGAUGCUUUUUCGGUCGUCGCACCAUAGUUUCCGUUUUAUUGAAUGUCAUAAUAGUUCUGCAUUCACCACAAUAUAUUUUGAAUUUUUUCACUUAGAUGUAGGUAAAUAUUUAUGUGUGGAUAAUAAUAAUAUAAGGACCUUCACUGCUGGCGAGAAAUUGUUGUCAUUGGAGAAUUCUAAUUUAAUAUCUACCUUCUUGAAAGCAAAGUGUGAUUCGAGAGGUUGGGAAGAGGGGUUUAUUCAAAUAAUCUCGCCGAAGUUUUUUUUAUAUAAAUCAUAAGUGCGGUAUAUUGUCGUUCAGUAAAUUAAUUUUGUACCAUUUCGUCUGAAUAAAAUAAAGUGAAUUCUUAUUAACACUGCUUUGUUGAAAUAAUUUAUGUUACCUACUUGUUGAUGAAUCUAGUUAUUAAUUAAUAAUAUAAUUCAGUUCUUCCUAAAAAUUCCGGCACCCUUUCCUAUACUUUUCCUUUUUCUUCAAAAGUUAUUUUUUUAAUUCCACCUUCAAACAGCAAUUAUUUCAAUCAUAACAGGCAUAAUACUCCAUUUUAUUUAGUAUAUAAUUCAAGUAUUUUUGGAUCAAGUGCUUGAGACUAACCGCCAUAAGUACCGUUUUGGGUUUUCUGCCUGUUUGCUUACCGUUUUUGAAUCACCGUUCCCGAGCGAAAACCCGAAGAACCCUGACCCGUUGAGCACGCGUGUCGCCGUACCGUCUCCGCUCGAUUUCCCGUUCCAGGAUCGCCGCCCCCAGGUAGGAGGAGCCAUCCCGAAGGAAGCCACCGUCCAGGAGGAAACAACCAUGUGUUAUUUUUUUUUCUUGAAGUUCAAACCGAAUUGUGAUAUAAUUUGUAAUAAUUAAUCAUAACAUUAUUUUAGCCGUGUAACUGGUGGUAGGGAAUAAAAACCUGAUUAUUGUUAAAGA